CCUACGGGUGGCAGCAGUGAGGAAUAUUGGUCAAUGGACGAGAGUCUGAACCAGCCAAGUAGCGUGAAGGAUGACUGCCCUAUGGGUUGUAAACUUCUUUUAUAUGGGAAUAAAACGUUCCACGUGUGGGAUUUUGUAUGUACCAUAUGAAUAAGGAUCGGCUAACUCCGUGCCAGCAGCCGCGGUAAUACGGAGGAUCCGAGCGUUAUCCGGAUUUAUUGGGUUUAAAGGGAGCGUAGGUUGAUUGUUAAGUCAGUUGUGAAAGUUUGCGGCUCAACCGUAAAAUUGCAGUUGAAACUGGCAGUCUUGAGUACAGUAGAGGUGGGCGGAAUGCGUGGUGUAGCGGUGAAAUGCUUAGAUAUCACGAAGAACUCCGAUUGCGAAGGCAGUUCACUGGACUGCAACUGACACUGAGGCUCGAAAGUGUGGGUAUCAAACAGGAUUAGAUACCCCUGUAGUC
rnacentral:rRNA from 1 species